CGAAACCACAAUCCCAAGACCAGGAGUCACAUGCUCCACCAACUGAGCCAACUAGGUGCCCAGUUUUCUUAUAUUCUUGACAAGACUGUUUCCUCAACAUUGUUGCUGAAGAUCCAUACCUAAGAGUUUAAGGAGAUUCUGCUUUCUGCCAGAGAAGUGGGGUUCAGUUUCAUCAGAGGUGCCCUUCCUAGUACUCAGCUACCACUGACUGCUUCUGAUGAACCAGUGAGCCUGCAGUGGGGCCGUGAGAAAGCUCGAGCAAGUUUCCGGCACUGCUGACACUGCUGUCAAAGAGGCACAACUUGAGAAGCACUGUCUUGGAGGGACUACUCCGUGGGUGAAGGAGAGCUCCAGAGCUAGCCAGCUGAGCUCACCACCCACUCCCAGCUCAAGCUCCAUGGCCAAGGUACACACCAGAUGAUGGGCUGCCCCUUCUUCAGCUGAAGAAGGUAGAAACUUUCAAAAAUAACUUUACCAGAAAAUUAAGAAUUCCACUGACCAGAAAAUUAAGAAUUCCACUGAAUUAUAAAGACCUAAAAAAUGUUGUCAUUUACCCAAAAUUCACUUAGGCAUCCUCAUAGGUGUCUCAUUUGCUCAACAAACACCUAAGCAGCAAUUAUGUGCCGUCCACUCCACAAGCCACUGGAAGGGCAGCAGGUGACAAAGCUCCAGCGGCCUGGCCUUCUGUCCAAUACUGUGGCCACUAGCUAUUUACACCUAAAUAAAAUUAGAAAUUCCAUUGCUCGGUUGCAUUUUCACGUUUCACAUUUCAGUGCUCAGUACCUAUAUGUAACCAGCAGCAGUGCAGAUACAGAGCACUCCAGCACAACGGUUUUCUGUCGGGCAGUGCUGGUCCAAUGGGCAGAACAGACACCAAACGUAUUUAAAAAUGUGCUGAGUUAGCUCAGGGGGCCGGGUGAGGUUCGUUGAGCUGUAGAGUAGAUCUCAUGCAGCCUGGGCGUUGUUGACAGAGUGGCAGUGGGACAGGCUGGAAAGGAACAGGUAAGAGUUUGCCUUCCAUUCUAGUGUCUCAGUUCUUUUCCUUCAAUUCCACAAACUCAUGUGUGCCUUUCAACAAAUCCCUCUCUUUAGUGCUCUUGAAUGUGACUUAUCACAACAGAAAGAGCACCAUCUAGAACUGCAUUCUGCAACCUGUUCUGCAGAGAGAUGUCAGGAGGUGUCCCCAACUUCCCCUGCCCCAGGAGAGACCCACAGUGCCCAGGACACUGACGAUUCUGAUCGGUCCUGCAGUAAAGGAGCCUUUACGAUCUUAUUGAGGUUAGAUUUACCCAACUUACAGGGCCAUGUGAUACAAUGAGCUUGUGAUAGUUUUGGAUCUUAGUUUGAGGAAAGCAGACUAGAGUGUGUCUCUUGUACACUUUGUCUUGUCGUGCAUUAUUUAUUUGAAAAGCCCUUUGUCAGAACGUGUUGUGUAAAUGAGAGUUUCUUGCUCAUUUGAAAGGCCGUGGAAGACCUAGACAUCCCCACACCUCCUGCCAGCAGCCAAGCCAUCGGGCCUCGCCAGCUACGCGCAGAGAGCAGGCAGGCAAGGGGAGCAACAUGUUGUUUUAUUGAUGCAAGUAGGUCCAGUCACACCAACAACUGCCAUCCUGCGUUAUGGUACAACUUUGUACUCAGAGUUCAUCUCAAAAUACCAAAACAUCAUAGGGUGUGUAUCAAAUUGGGAAAAUAAAGUAGCAAACAUAGAUACUGUAUCAGGUAGGUACUAGAACUGAUGACCCAGUGGAGUGCACAUUGACAUGAAAGCUCCUUAACACAAGACGGAAAGUGUUCUAACAUUGUAUUCCAAAUAUAGAGUCUCAAGUUUUUAGCCUUUCUUUGUCUCAAAUACAUAAACAAAGCAGUAUGUACUAUCAAGAUACAGUAUGUACUAUCUAGAAUGUCUGAAAAGUGCGAAAACACUGUGACAAUACAGUGUAAAUAUUCUUGCUCCACGCAGGGCUGGGCGCCAUCAGCAGUGGAUCUCGGAGCCCCCCCUUCCUGAGGCCUCACCUCCACAUCUCCAGGCUCUCCUAGGAGCUUUGGGAAUUAGCAGCUAACUGCCCCGUCCUCACUCAGGCAUCUCAGCUGCAGGCCCCCGUGGGAGGAAGCCAGGCAUGCGGAGAGCAACAAGGUUAUAUACAAAAUGGACCCCAACCAGUGAGGCCUCCUCAUCUCAACCCUUAUCAAUCAAGAUUAAAACUCAGUGCAUGUGUGUGCUUCAUCCAGCGUCUGCAGGCUGCAUCCGUGCCUUCAGGCUCUGUUAAGGAGAGUGGUCCUAGAGGUAGGCAGGGCACAAGGAAAUGGUCAGGUGGUUGGCAGGCCACAGUUCCUGGGGAGGGCCUGGAUUCUAAGAACCAGCUAUCAGGGGAAGGGUCAAGGACACUCAGACCCAAGUUCUCAGCCUCCCACCUACUGGCAGCCUGUGUAGAGUUACCCUGGCUGCCUUUCAGAAGGGCAGAUCCGUCAUGCUCCCCAGUCCUCUCCCUUCCUGUAGAUCCAGGCAUGGGACUGGUCUCAGGGGCUCCUAGGCCUGUCCCUGGAAUUUUCUUACCUGAGAGUCUUCCAGCUAUCUUUUUCCAUGUGGUUUUCAGGACCUUCACUUUCAAAGGAGGCGAUGAAGAGAGCUGAGAGAUGAAAAGCCCCUCAGAACCCAUGUCCACGUGCAGUCAGUCUGCCUACCACACCAGGUAUCCCUUCCUUUCUAAGGGAGCAGCUGGGCCUGGGCAAAGACAGUGACCUCUAGUCUGGGCUUUUCCACAGGUCUCUGUUGCCUGGGGUUCUAGGCCCCAUGAGGUCUAGAGCUCCCAGCUUCCUGCUUAGGGACUGAGAAAUUUCGUGAUUCUGCAGCAUGAACCCACCCUUGUUCUGGCUCUCUCUGGUGGCUUCCAGAGCCCCAUCUCUCCUUGUCUUCUUCCUGUUGUCUACUGACAGCCCACCCUCAUGUACUCACCCCUGUGGGCUGAGCUUCCCCUGUGUAGCAUGGGGAUAGUGAUCAGGCCUGCCUUCCAGGGCAACCCCAUGAGGGGGGGAAGUCAGGGUGACAUGUAUGGUAUGGGGAGGUGGAUGUGCUGCCAUGGAGAACUGGGCCUCACCUUCCUCACUGUAGAUGGGUGCCGUGAGCAGGUAAUUCUGAAUCUUCUUGUCCUUCUCGAAGGGACACUCUACCUGAGUCCAUGUCAUGAACUCAUGGAUCUGUCUGGAGAUCUCCCAAAAUUUCUGAAGACACAGAAAAUGAACUGGAUGUUCAUUUGUCACCUUAAGCUUGAAAUCCUUGGUUAGGGCAAGGGAUAUAGGUUCCGGUUUCAUUCUGCAUCCCAGCAAGAUGGGACAGUGACCCUACUCAGCUGACUUUGUGGCCAUAGCAGCACUUGAUGCAACAUCAGAGCCAAUAAGUGUCCCUAAGACUACUCUGUCUGCCCUCUGCCUAGGCCAUCUGGCUGCAGCAGGAUCUGUGCCUCCCCUAUACAAGACCCAAGAAGGCCCCAUCUGGGACUCCAGGCUGAGGCAGGCAUGCCAGCCACACCCA